GGUUCUAUGGUGUAACGGUUAGCACUCCAGACUCUGAAUCUGGCGAUCUGGGUUCAAAUCCCGAUAAAACCU
rnacentral:tRNA from 1 species